rnacentral:rRNA from 1 species
UACAGAGGUCUCAAGCGUUGUUCGGAUUCAUUGGGCGUGAAGGGUGUGUAGGUGGCGCGCUAAGUCGGGUGUGAAAUUUCGGAGCUUAACUCCGAAACUGCAUUCGAUACUGGCGUGCUUGAGGACUGGAGAGGAGACUGGAAUUCAUGGUGUAGCAGUGAAAUGCGUAGAGAUCAUGAGGAAGACCAGUGGCGAAGGCGGGUCUCUGGACAGUUCCUGACGCUGAGGCACGAAGGCCAGGGGAGCAAACGGG